GAAGCGCGAAAUGUAGUGUGAAUCGCAGAACAUUGUGAAUCAUCGAAUCUUUGAACGCACAUUGCGCCUCUUUCCAAGAGGCAUGCCUGUCUGAGCGUCGUUUAAACCAAAUGGACCCGAUCGGGUUCAGUGUUGGGCCUCGCCCGCAGGGCGUCGCCUCAAAGCCAUCGGUCUUUUGGAGCGGGCGGGUUCCUCUAGGACGGGACCGCUCCCUGGACCUUGGAUAAAUUCUUGAAUCGACCUCAGAUCAGGUAGGGACACCGCCUGAACUUAA
rnacentral:misc_RNA from 1 species